AUUGAACGCUGGCGGCAGGCCUAACACAUGCAAGUCGAGCGGAUGAAGGGAGCUUGCUCCUGGAUUCAGCGGCGGACGGGUGAGUAAUGCCUAGGAAUCUGCCUGGUAGUGGGGGAUAACGUCCGGAAACGGGCGCUAAUACCGCAUACGUCCUGCGGGAGAAAGUGGGGGAUCUUCGGACCUCACGCUAUCAGCUGAGCCUAGGUCGGAUUAGCUAGUUGGUGGGGUAAAGGCCUACCAAGGCGACGAUCCGUAACUGGUCUGAGAGGAUGAUCAGUCACACUGGAACUGAGACACGGUCCAGACUCCUACGGGAGGCAGCAGUGGGGAAUAUUGGACAAUGGGCGAAAGCCUGAUCCAGCCAUGCCGCGUGUGUGAAGAAGGUCUUCGGAUUGUAAAGCACUUUAAGUUGGGAGGAAGGGCAGUAAGUUAAUACCUUGCUGUUUUGACGUUACCAACAGAAUAAGCACCGGCUAACUUCGUG
rnacentral:rRNA from 1 species